AAGUCGUAACAAGGUUUCCGUAGGUGAACCUGCGGAAGGAUCAUUAUUGAUUCGAAACAAACAACAAAAUGUGUUUCAAUUUUAUUGUUACAUAUUUUAUAGAAAAAAUUUUACGUGCUGAUUGUGCGUAAAAAAUUUUUUUAACACAUAGUUAUGUGUUUUGUUGAACGCAUUGUUUUUAAUAUGUAUUAAAAACGAAAGCACUUGAUACAAUAUUUGAUUGGGUACUUAUUUUUAAUAAGUAUAUUGACAAAAUUGUCAUGACAUUCGCCCAAACAUAUUAUUUAAAUCAUUGUGUUUACAAACUUUUGUCGUUUUAUACGCUUUAUGUAAUAUAAAUGAAAAAUUUAAAAUUCAACCCUAAGCGGGGGAUCACUUGGUUUGUGG
rnacentral:misc_RNA from 1 species